UGUAGUCAUAUGCUUGUCUCAAAGAUUAAGCCAUGCAUGUCUAAGUAUAAGCAAUUAUACGGCGAAACUGCGAAUGGCUCAUUAAAUCAGUUAUCGUUUAUUUGAUAGUACCUUGCUACAUGGAUAACCGUGGUAAUUCUAGAGCUAAUACAUGCUAAAAAUCCCGACUUCGGAAGGGAUGUAUUUAUUAGAUUAAAAACCAAUGCCCUUCGGGGCUCUCUGGUGAUUCAUAAUAACUUCUCGAAUCGCACGGCCUUGCGCCGGCGAUGGUUCAUUCAAAUUUCUGCCCUAUCAACUUUCGACGGCUGGGUCUUGGCCAGCCAUGGUGACAACGGGUAACGGAGGGUUAGGGCUCGACCCCGGAGAAGGAGCCUGAGAAACGGCUACUACAUCCAAGGAAGGCAGCAGGCGCGCAAAUUACCCAAUCCCGACUCGGGGAGGUAGUGACGAUAAAUACCGAUACAGGGCUCUUUUGGGUCCUGUAAUUGGAAUGAGUACAAUUCAAAUCCCUUAACGAGGAACAAUUGGAGGGCAAGUCUGGUAAUCGAAUCCCGCGGCCGCCA
rnacentral:rRNA from 1 species